UCGAUUACCCAGCGAAGGGCGUCACAUCCGACCACCGCCCCUAAGCCAUCUCUAAAAAACCACAGAAAACCACAAAUCUCUCUCAGAAAAUCACAGAUCCGGCCAACCUCUUCCCCUUUGCCUAUCCAGCGAAAGGCGUCGCCUCCAACCGCCGCUCACCUAACGGUCAUAGCCCCUAAGCCAUCUCUGAAAACCCUAGGCACCAACAGCCGUUCUUCCCUCUUCAAACCCACGACCAUGUCCGCCACCACGACGG
rnacentral:lncRNA from 1 species